AAUAGGUGUAGUUCUGCUAAAGGAUUCACAUAAUUUGUUCCAACUUAAUCUUCUUUCAGAUCUAAUUAUGUAUUUCUUCUUAGCUUGAAGCUUUUUAAAGUUUACAUAAUUCUCUUCAGUUGGGUCAUCUUUGAAUUGGAGGUGAUAGCUGCCUAAUGGAUCGUCGAAGACCAUCCAGUCACCUUGUAAAGAGAUGGAAGGAGAGACUAUGUUUAAAUCCAAGACAUUAGGUCUCUAUAUGUGAGAGCCGACUGUAGUAACAUGACCAUCAUUUAGUAGGACUAAAUUGUUUUUAUGAAUGACAUCUAAAAUGUCUUUGCCCCUGCAAUCAGAGGUUUGGCUGCCCCAAACUAUAUUAUGACAGUUAAAAUCCCCCGCCAAGAAAAUUGGUUCAAUUAAAUUGGCUUUUAAUUAAAUUAUUCAGUUUAUUGGUGAAAAAGGAGGGCUGCAAUUACCUGGGCUGUAAAGGCUUACAAUAGUUAAUUCCUUGCAAUUUGAAUAUUUAAUUCUAAUAGCUAUAUUUUGAAGAGAAUUAUCAUAAACAGUAUUUACAUUAGAGUAAGAGAUAGAUCUAUGUACAAGUAUGGCUACACCAUUGUGAGAGUUUCCUGAGUGUAGUCUUACUAUAUCGAAAUUAUGCAAUUUAAAUUUAUGAUGAGAUUUAAGCCAAGUCUCGCAAAGAAUGGCCACAUGAAUAUUGUUAUCAAAAAGAAAAUGGUUGAAAAUAUGUUGAUUGUGCAAUAUACUCUGAGCAUUC